GUUUUAAUAAUUUAAAUAAAAUUUUGAUCUUGUAAAUCAAACUUAAGGAUUACCUUUUAAAACU
rnacentral:tRNA from 1 species